rnacentral:rRNA from 1 species
AUUGAACGCUGGCGGCAGGCCUAACACAUGCAAGUCGAGCGGAUGAAGGGAGCUUGCUCCUGGAUUCAGCGUCGGACGGGUGAGUAAUGCCUAGGAAUCUGCCUGGUUUUGGGGGAUAACGUCCUCAAACGGGCGCUACUACCGCAUACGUCCUGAGCGAGAUAGUUGGGGAUCUUCGGACCUCACGCUCUCAGAUGAGCCUAGGUCGGAUUAGCUAGUUGGUGGGGUAAAGGCCUACCAAGGCGACGAUCCGUAACUGGUCUGAGAGGAUGAUCAGUCACACUGGAACUGAGACACGGUCAAGACUACUACGAGAGGCAGCAGUGGGGAAUAGUAGACAAUGGGCGAGAGUAUGAUCCAGCCAGGGCGCGUGUGUGAAGAAGGUGUUCGGAUUGGAAAGAAGGUUAAGGGGGGAGGAAGGGCAGUAAGUUAAGACCUAGCUGGAGUGACGGUAACAACAGAAGAAGCACCGGCUAACUACGUG